rnacentral:tRNA from 1 species
UAGAGGAUCGUAUAAGUGGUAGUACAUAAAGUUUUGAGCUUUGGUGUGUAGGUUCGAGGCCUAUUCUUCUAG